CUGCAAACAAGAUCACUAGCCCAGCAUCCUGUUGCUGAAGCGAGGGGAACAUGUUUGCUAAAUAAACAUGAUUCUAGAAGCGUAUGGACAUAAUCUGGUUAUUGUCCUCUGCAUCUAUAUCAUUACAAGC